GACGAACGCUGGCGGCGUGCUUAACACAUGCAAGUCGAACGCUGAAGCUCAGCUUUUGUUGGGUGGAUGAGUGGCGAACGGGUGAGUAACACGUGAGUAACCUGCCCUCUUCUUUGGGAUAACGCCCGGAAACGGGUGCUAAUACUGGAUAUUCACUGGUCCCUGCAUGGGGGUUGGUGGAAAGGGUUUUUUCUGGUGGGGGAUGGGCUCGCGGCCUAUCAGCUUGUUGGUGGGGUGAUGGCCUACCAAGGCUUUGACGGGUAGCCGGCCUGAGAGGGUGACCGGUCACAUUGGGACUGAGAUACGGCCCAGACUCCUACGGGAGGCAGCAGUGGGGAAUAUUGCACAAUGGGCGAAAGCCUGAUGCAGCGACGCCGCGUGAGGGAUGGAGGCCUUCGGGUUGUAAACCUCUUUCGCUCAUGGUCAAGCCGCAACUGUGGGUUGUGGUGAGGGUAGUGGGUAAAGAAGCGCCGGCUAACUACGUGCCAGCAGCCGCGGUAAUACGUAGGGCGCGAGCGUUGUCCGGAAUUAUUGGGCGUAAAGGGCUUGUAGGCGGUUGGUCGCGUCUGCCGUGAAAUCCUCUAGCUUAACUGGGGGCGUGCGGUGGGUACGGGCUGACUUGAGUGCGGUAGGGGAGACUGGAACUCCUGGUGUAGCGGUGGAAUGCGCAGAUAUCAGGAAGAACACCGGUGGCGAAGGCGGGUCUCUGGGCCGUUACUGACGCUGAGGAGCGAAAGCGUGGGGAGCGAACAGG
rnacentral:rRNA from 1 species